GGAAGGAGCAGCCUCACGUCUCAUCCACCCAGGACUUGCAGGUGGUCUCUGCAUCUGGAAGCGCCCCCUCCCGCUGCUGCUGUGCCCGUCACCUCCAGACACUCCCUCCUGCUCGUCUUCUGACUCCUGAGAGUGCAUGUGUGGUUCUGACCCUGGUGUGGAGAGAUGCCUCUUCGCUUGUGGGACGAUAGAGUCUGCGCUUCAUCACCAGAUGAGAAUAAUAGCAGCUCCAUCAUCGAACUAGAAAGAGACAUACAGGAUAUUCAAACCUGGAAUGACAAUGAGUCCAAAGAAUCUUUGGUGAUCCAGGAACAAGAAGUCAGUUAACGAUGGAAACAUGCCUUGGGAGUAAGUCACAGGAUAACGGUGGUGAAAGUAAAGUCCGAUGCUGUAAAGAACAAUACUGCAUAGGAACCUGGAAUGCUAUUAAUAGACCCAUGAAUCAAGGUAAAUUGGAUGCGGUCAAGCAGGAGAUGGCAAGAGUGAAUACUUACAUCUUAAGAAGUAGUGAAAUAAAACGGAUAAGAAUGGGAGAACUUACUACAGAUGACCAUUAUAUCUACUGCUGUGUGCAAGAAUCCCUUAGGAAAAAUGAAGUAGCCCUCAUAGUCAACAAAAGAGUCUGAAAUGCAGCACUUGGGAGUGGGUUGCACUUGGGUGCAAUCUCAAAAAUUGACACAAUGAUCUCAGUUCAUUUCCAAGGCAAGCCAUUCAACAUCACAGUCAUCCAAGUCUAUACCCCAACCACUAAUGCUGAAGAAACUGAAGUUGAAUGGUUCUGUGAAGACUUAUAAGACCUUCUAGAGUUAACACCAAAAAAAAAAAAAAGAGAGAGAGAGAGAGAGAGAGAAAGGAUAUCUUUUUCAUCACAGGGGACCGGAAAGCAAAAGUAGGGAGUCAAGAUAUACCUGGAGUAACAGGCAAGUUUAGCCUUGGAGUACAAAAUGAAGCAAGUUAAAAUCUAACAGAGUUUCAGGAAGUCAAGAGAACACACUUGUUCCGAAGAUGGAGGAGAAUGGAAGAGAGGAACAAAUUCACUGUAUUUUUGCACAAAUUCAGGUUCUCGAGCUUUGAGAAUGGGGAAGAAAGGCAAGAGGGGUUGGAUUUUCUGCUUAGUUUUUGUGUGGUUGUGGCCAAUUUAAGAUGCUUACAAGCAGUUCUUGCUAAAGACUGCCACAAAUGCAUGGAGGCAGUUGGAAGGAGGUUGUGUUUAUCUUAAAUAAUCAGCUCCCAGGUAUUCAAUCAACAAUAAGUAUUAGGCACUCCCUCCAUGCUAGACAGCCCAAUAGGCUCAGGGGCUGCCCUGAAAAUAACAGUGAAUAAGCUUCCCACCUUCCUGGAGGCCACACACAGUUACAGCCUGAGUUGUGUCCCUUAAAAUGUGUGUGUUGAAGUUCUAAACUCCCACUACCUCAUAAUGUGACCUUAUGGGCCUUUAUAAGAUGCAGGCUGCGUGCCAAGUUGCUUCAGUCAUAUCUGACUCUUUGGGACCCUAGGGACUGUAGCCCCCCAGGCUCCUCUGUCCACGGGAUUUUCCAGGCAAGAAUCCUAAGUGGGUUGCCAUGCCCUCCUCCAGGAAAUCUUACUGACUCAAGGAUCGAACCUGUGUCUUCUGCAUUUCAGGUGGAUUCUUUGCUGUCUGAGCGACAUGGGAAGCCCUCUUUAUGACAUGAAAGUGAAAGUGAAAGCCGCUCAGUAGUGUCUGACUCUUUGUGACCCCAUGGACUGUACAGUUUAUGGAAUUCUCCAGGCCAGAAUACAGGAGUGGGUAGCCUUUCCCUUCUCCAAGGAUCAUCCCAACACAGAAAUCAAACCCGGGUCUCCUGCAUUGCAGCCAGAUUCUUUACCACUGGGGUAUCAGGGAUAUCUUUAUAUCCCUGAUAUAUCCCAGAUAUCUCCCUGAUAUAUCUGAUAUAUCCCAGAUAUCUUUAUGAUAAUCAAGAUACCUCAAGGAUAUAUCAAGGAUAUACCAGAUAUAUCGAGGAUAUACCAAGGAUAUCAGGGAUAUACCAGGGAUAUACCAGGCAUAUCAGGGAUAUACCAGAUAUGCCAGAUAUAUCCCUGAUAUAUACCAGAUAUCUUUAUGAGGUAAUCAAGCUCAAAUAAGUCCAUUAACUUUGGGCUCUACUUCAACAGGACGGCUGUCCUUAUAGAGGGGAAAUUUGAACACAGGGAAGAUGACGUGGAGGCAGAGGGUGGUGUGGAACAUUUAUAAGCCAGGCAACACCAGAGGCUGCUAGAGGCUCGGAGGGAGGUCUGGAGUGGACCCAUCACCUGCCCCUUCAGAGGGAGCCUGGCUCCACCAGCCUCUUGAUCUCAGACUUCUGGUCUCCAUAAUCAUCAGACAAUACAUUUCUGCUGUUCUAAGCCACUCAAUAUGUAGCAGUUCAUUAUGACAGUCCUGGUAAAUUAAUACACACAUUAAUCAAGUAAAACUCCAAAUGAAGAGGGGUGUUCAGGACUUCAGGCGUCAGAGGGUCUUUCCUGGUCACAAGAUAGGGCCAUGCUGAGCUGAGUGGAGCCUGUGGGUGGACAGGCAGAAGGGCAGUGGAGGGGGUGAAGCCCAUGACCCAGAGGGGAACAGUGAGCGGUCCCCAGGCCUCCUGUGAGUGUGGGCCAGGCAGCCCCAUCCUCUAAUGGGAAAUCUGAGACUUGACACAGAAGGUCAGAUUCACUCAUCGGCAAAAGUCUUUCCAGAUCUGUAAAUACCUCACUGAUGAGAUUAAGGCACCUCCUCGAAAUCCCAUCAGGAAGCAAGCGUGCAAACAGCACUAAUUAAAGACUGAGACCGUCUCACAGCCUGUAAAGCAUCAGCCUUGAGCGAACAAGAGGAAUAUGUAGCCGGCAGUGGGAGUGGGAGGCGGGCAUGUGUGCUCUUCCAAGCCCUGUCUCGGAGGAUGGAUGCCCUGAUUUCAGGUGUCCCCUCCCAGAUCUUCUUCUGGAAAUAGCCUGGUGUUGAGAAGGACGCCGUAUCUCGCUGCCACAGCACACUGGAAACAUCCCUAAAGAAUACCCGACUCGUUUUGCUCCAAUUUUAUGCUCACCAAGCAACCUUUUAAAUUCUAAUUUGGUGUCUGACUAGGUGAUUUCUCUCUAGGCCCUGAGCCAAGAUUAUUCUCAGAACCAGCCUUUAGGCUGCAAAUGAAGAGGGGGCAGCAUUGUGACCCCCCGAUAGGACCGUGCAAGGCAGAGAAGUGGAGGAAGCAAGAACUGAGUGAUGGGCAGUGAGGAGGAGUGAGGAGCAGGGGGCCAGAGUUCGCCCAGAACCAGGUCUAGCCGGCCCAGCUGGCAGCCCCGGAAGGGGAGCGAGGCUGUUAACCCCAGGCAUGUGAUCAAUGGGUCCCAUGGAACCUAGAGAAGGCAGAGCCCCACUAAGCAAGCAGGCUGACAGGAGUCAAGGUCACUGACUUCCACCAACGAUGUGGCCCUGGAUCAGUGGGGCCCGGAAGACAGCAUCAGCCUCCAACAAGCCCUGCAAGGCGGCUCCCCUGAGACUCACAGGCAGCCCCCUCCGCACUGCCAAAGCCCCUCCCCCUUUGCUCCCCAGACAUCUGGCUCCAGCACCCAGCUCAGUGUGUUUCUUGCAGUUCUGCUAGGGUUGUACAACCAUUGAGAGUUGGGUGAAAGGUAAAACCAGCUUCACGUUAUUCUCCUCUGCAUAGGUUUUCCUUUCCUUAAGCCACACCCCACUAAUGCUCACAUUAAUGGUGAAAUAGAUCAUAACUCAAAACUAAUGGAGAAUUAUCCUGUAAGAUCCAGCCGGCAGACUCUCUAAUUCAUUGAAAUUCUUGUCCAGUAUGAGAUAAGAUGAUUGUGUUAAGUUUAAAAUGUGUGGCUCCUCCGUCCAUGGAUUUUCCAAGCAAAAAUUCUGGAGUGAGCUGAAUUUCUUCUCCAAGGGACCUUCCAGACCCAGAGAUCCAACCUGGGUCUCUUGCAUUUCCUGCACAGGCAGGAGAGUUCUUUACCACCACACACCUGGGAAGCCCAUUUAAAAUAUACGGUCAUAAAAUUGCAAAUCAACUAUUUGUUGUUGUUCAGUCACUAAGCAUAUCUGACUCUUUUUGACCC
rnacentral:lncRNA from 1 species